AACGAACGCUGGCGGCAUGCCUAACACAUGCAAGUCGAACGAGACCUUCGGGUCUAGUGGAGAACGGGUGCGUAACGCGUGGGAACAUGCCCUUAGGUUCGGAAUAACUCUCCGAAAGGGGUGCUAAUAUCGGAUAAUGUCUUCGGACCAAAGAUUUAUCGCCUUUGGAUGGGCCCGCGUUGGAUUAGCUAGUUGGUAGGGUAAAAGCCUACCAAGGCGACGAUCCAUAGCUGGUCUGAGAGGAGGAUCAGCCACACUGGAACUGAGACACGGCCCAGACUCCUGCGGGAGGCAGCAGUGGGGAAUAUUGGACAACGGGCGAAAGCCUGAUCCAGCGAUGCCGCGUUAGUGAUGAAGGCCUUAUGGUUGUAAAGCUCUUUGACCCGGGAUGAUAAUGACAGUACCUGGAGAAUAAGCACCGGCUAACUCCGUG
rnacentral:rRNA from 1 species